AUGGAAACAGGAUGCACCUGAGCUCAAUUUUGAGUGCCAUAGCAAAGGGUCUGAAUACUUAUUCUGCAGUCCAUGAGGACCUGCUGAUAUCCGGUGUUGCUGGCGGGAGAGACUGGACCUCUGAAGCGGCUGGUCACAAAACCUGGCCCCUGAUCAGAACCCUGGAUCAGGAGCCGUCACUGUUCCUUCCCGAGUCAGAACCAGCACUGAACCACGAGGGACAGAGACUCCACCACACCCACCACACAACGAAUGGACAGGUGGACUGAACAACCUCAGUCCUGGUGGUCAUCAGAGAGGCAGAGGCUCCAAUCAGGGAUCCAGUCUGCAGCCCAGACCCUUCUCUUCACAGUCUCAGUGCAGGGAUGAAGCAGGGCCUGGGGCUGAUAGAGAUAGACCCUCCUGUUCCUAUGAUACAAACACCACAGUAUCCGUGAUGAACAGAUCAGGUCGCCCUGGGCUUCAGCCUUCACAGAGUGUGGUGGGAGACCCCCCUGGUGGUAGUCUAUCAGGAAGCCUGUAUUUUCCUUCAGGGUCUCAUCUAAUGCCUGGUGACUGGGUUCAUAGAAGGCCUGGGACUGAACCUGAGUCUAGCGUUCCUCGAUUACCUCAGGGUUACCCCACCAAUACAGACAGGGUCAGGAUAGGUGUUCACCACAAGAAGUACUUAGCCUAUAACACAGCGCACAAUCCCAACAACACCCAAACAAUGGCAAGAGGUCAAGGAGGGAACUCAAAAGCUCCUGCUUCUACCUCCUCUGGUGUCAUUGGGUCACAACGUGGGAACCCGAAUAUUAGGGCAGACACCGACAAGCCGUACAGCUGCGCCACGUGUGGGAAGCACUUCACUCGGGCAAACUAUUUGAAGGAGCAUCAGACAGUUCACACCAAGGAGAGGCCCUUCAAGUGCAAACUAUGUUACAAGAGCUUCCCCUUCCGGAGUAACCUUAUCAGACAUAGGAGUGUCCACAAUGGGGAGAAAUUGUAGCAGUGUGGCUUGAGAUGUACACAGGGAUGUCAGGAAAUCAUUCUUUAGCUGACAUAGUUAUAUUGUGAAGUGUCUUGGGGUAAGAGGGUAAUUAACCACAUACCCCUCAUUAACCCUUUGUUAACUUGUAAUUUGAAACAGGCUUGUGUUUUUAGAGAGACAGUAAACGUAGGCUAAAACAAGGACAGUUGAAUAUUUAUGUUAUUGACGUGAUGUAGAUGGAAUAAAGUCGUUCUAUAAAUGUUACUCUUCUUGCUAACACACUGUUCAUUCUAAACAAGUCUGCUCUUUGCUUAAAAGAUACUGAUCAUGGCAGAUUUGACGUGUAUUGUAAGAAGCAGUACCGUAUUUCAAAGAACAGAGGGCAUACCUUUUUAGUUUAACCAGACCCUUUGAGCUUUGACGGCAACCAAUAAGAUCCUUUCUCUUCAGUGUUAACAGAAGUGGUGUGUCUUGAUUUGUCUAGUUCUCUCUGGCCUUUUCUCAUUUUGGCAAAAGUCCAUCCUCUGCAGUAGUGUAGGGUAUAUGCAGGUAUACACCUACACCCACUUAUUUUUCAGUGUGCAUUGCGUAUACUCACUUCUUAAUCCCCACAAUGCGUAUAAAAGUAAUGUAGUGGAGGUAUACGCUGC
rnacentral:lncRNA from 1 species